UGUGCCAAAUGCACAAGCAAAGAAAGGGAUGCUGGGCCACCUUCCAUUCACAGUCAUCACAGCAGGAACAUGUUUGUACCUGAGCCUGCAAUCAAAUGCUGGAUGAAGGCAAAGAAUUCCUUUGGGGCAGUGACAGUAGAGAAUCUCACCACAAUGAUAUUGUACCUGGUUCUGAGAGUCUAGUCUCAGAAUAAGUGACAGAAGAAAAAAAAAUUCCAGAGACCUUCUUCUGAAGAACUGUCUUAAGAAAUCUCUGUGUGACACAGAAAACACUACUCUCACCAGUACCAAGUAAAGUCCUCAUUUCUGGGCUGCAAAUACUGAGUUUCAUCCCUUUGCCCAUGGUCUCUGCUACUCUGUAGUUUCGAGACAUGGCGUCUCUCCAUGCACUUCAUCUCUUCAUGAAUUUAGAAUCUUGUCACAUUCAGGAAUUGAGAAAUAUUUUAUAAGCAUUAAAUAUAGCUGCUUAAUUUCA